AUUGAACGCUGGCGGCGUGCCUAACACAUGCAAGUCGAGCGGCAGCGCGGGAGCAAUCCUGGCGGCGAGCGGCGGACGGGUGAGUAAUGCUUGGGAAUCUGCCUGUUAGUGGGGGACAACCCGGGGAAACGUCGGGCGUAAUACCGCAUACGCACUACGGUGGAAAGCCGGGGACCGCAAGGCCUGGCGCUAACAGAUGAGCCCAAGUCGGAUUAGCUAGUUGGUAGGGUAACGGCCACCAAGGCGACGAUCCGUAACUGGUCUGAGAGGACGACCAGUCACACCGGAACUGAGACACGGUCCGGACUCCUACGGGAGGCAGCAGUGGGGAAUAUUGGACAAUGGGGGAAA
rnacentral:rRNA from 1 species